rnacentral:lncRNA from 1 species
AUUAAUUCAUCAAAUACACAAAAGCAUUAAACAACUCAAAUUUUAUAUCCUUAAGUUAAAUCACCCAACGAUGAAAAUAAAUUAUCCAAAUAUGAAAUUAAAGUACAAAAAAAGUUACUGUUGUAGGCUAGCAUUAGAAAUACAAGAUCAGUUGAUCUUCAAUUUCCUCAUUCAUCUUCAUAAUAGUUAGUUGCCGGCGACACAGGAAUUUUGUUGCCCAUUCUCAUU